ensembl:snRNA U6 U6 spliceosomal RNA
GUGCUCACUUCCACAGCACAUAUAUUAAAAAAUUGAAACCAUACAGAGAAUAUUAGCCUGGCCCCUGCACUGUACAUUUUAAUUAAGAUGGCUGCUCUAUCUUA